AACGAACGCUGGCGGCAUGCCUAACACAUGCAAGUCGAACGAGACCUUCGGGUCUAGUGGCGCACGGGUGCGUAACGCGUGGGAACCUGCCCUUAGGUUCGGAAUAACUCCCCGAAAGGGGUGCUAAUACCGGAUAAUGUCUUCGGACCAAAGAUUUAUCGCCUUUGGAUGGGCCCGCGUUGGAUUAGCUAGUUGGUAGGGUAAAAGCCUACCAAGGCGACGAUCCAUAGCUGGUCUGAGAGGAUGAUCAGCCACACUGGGACUGAGACACGGCCCAGACUCCUACGGGAGGCAGCAGUGGGGAAUAUUGGACAAUGGGCUAAAGCCUGAUCCAGCAAUGCCGCGUGAGUGAUGAAGGCCUUAGGGUUGUAAAGCUCUUUUACCCGGGAUGAUAAUGACAGUACCGGGAGAAUAAGGUCCGGCUAACUCC
rnacentral:rRNA from 1 species